rnacentral:rRNA from 1 species
GAGCGAACCGAUUAAUAGCUUGCUCUUAAUAAGUUAGCGGCGGACGGGUGAGUAACACGUAGGUAACCUGCCUAUAAGACUGGGAUAACUCCGGGAAACCGGGGCUAAUACCGGAUAACAUUUUGCACCGCAUGGUGCGAAAUUGAAAGGCGGCUUCGGCUGUCACUUAUAUAUGGACCUGCGGCGCAUUAGCUAGUUGGUGAGGUAACGGCUCACCAAGGCGACGAUGCGUAGCCGACCUGAGAGGGUGAUCGGCCACACUGGGACUGAGACACGGCCCAUACUCCUACGGGAGGCAGCAGUAGGGAAUCUUCCGCAAUGGACGAAAGUCUGACGGAGCAACGCCGCGUGAGCGAUGAAGGCCUUCGGGUCGUAAAGCUCUGUUGUUAGGGAAGAACAAGUGCUAGUUGAAUAAGCUGGCACCUUGACGGUACCUAACCAGAAAGCCACGGCUAACUACGUGCCAGCAGCCGCGGUAAU